rnacentral:rRNA from 1 species
UACAGAGGUCUCAAGCGUUGUUCGGAUUCAUUGGGCGUAAAGGGUGCGUAGGCGGCGCGGUAAGUCGGGUGUGAAAUCUUGGAGCUUAACUCCGAAACUGCAUUCGAUACUGCCGUGCUUGAGGACUGGAGAGGAGACUGGAAUUUACGGUGUAGCGGUGAAAUGCGUAGAUAUCGUAAGGAAGACCAGUGGCGAAGCGGGUCUCUGGACAGUUCCUGACGCUGAGGCACGAAGGUCAGGGGGAGCAAACGGG